rnacentral:rRNA from 1 species
GAGUUUGAUCCUGGCUCAGAUUGAACGCUGGCGGUAUGCCUAACACAUGCAAGUCGAACGGCAGCACGAGAAAGCUUGCUUUCUUGGUGGCGAGUGGCGGACGGGUGAGUAAUACUUAGGAAUCUACCCAGUAGCGGGGGACAACUCGAGGAAACUCGAGCUAAUACCGCAUACGCCCUACGAGGGAAAGCAGGGGAUCUUCGGACCUUGCUUGCGCUAUUGGAUGAGCCUGCGUCCGAUUAGCUAGUUGGUAAGGUAAAGGCUUACCAAGGCGACGAUCGGUAGCUGGUCUGAGAGGACGAUCAGCCACACUGGGACUGAGACACGGCCCAGACUCCUACGGGAGGCAGCAGUGGGGAAUAUUGGACAAUGGGGGCAACCCUGAUCCAGCAAUGCCGCGUGUGUGAAGAAGGCCUUAGGGUUGUAAAGCACUUUCAGUGGGGAGGAAAUCCUAUAGGUUAAUACCCUAUAGUUUUGACGUUACCCACAGAAGAAGCACCGGCUAACUCUGUGCCAGCAGCCGCGGUAAUACAGAGGGUGCGAGCGUUAAUCGGAAUGACUGGGCGUAAAGCGCGCGUAGGUGGUUAUUUAAGUUGGAUGUGAAAGCCCAGGGCUCAACCUUGGAACUGCAUCCAAAACUGGGUAACUAGAGUACGGUAGAGGGAGGUAGAAUUUCAGGUGUAGCGGUGAAAUGCGUAGAGAUCUGAAGGAAUACCAGUGGUGAAGGUGGCCUCCUGGACUGAUACUGACACUGAGGUGCGAAAGCGUGGGGAGCGAACAGGAUUAGAUACCCUGGUAGUCCAUGCCGUAAACGAUGAGAACUAGCUGUAGGGGCUUAGAGUCUUUAGUGGCGUAGCUAACGCGUUAAGUUCUCCGCCUGGGGAGUACGGCCGCAAGGUUAAAACUCAAAGAAAUUGACGGGGGCCCGCACAAGCGGUGGAGCAUGUGGUUUAAUUCGAUGCAACGCGAAACACCUUACCUACACUUGACAUCCAGAGAAUCCUUUAGAGAUAGAGGAGUGCCUUCGGGAACUCUGUGACAGGUGCUGCAUGGCUGGCGUCAGCUCGUGUUGUGAAAUGUUGGGUUAAGUCCCGUAACGAGCGCAACCCCUAUCCUUAGUUACCAGCGGUUCUGUCGGGAACUCUAGAGAGACUGCCGGUGAUAAACCGGAGGAAGGCGGGGACGACGUCAAGUCAUCAUGGCCUUUAUGGGUAGGGCUACACACGUGCUACAAUGGAGCGUACAGAGGGUUGCGAAGCCGCGAGGUGGAGCCAAUCCCAGAAAACGCUUCGUAGUCCGGAUUGGAGUCUGCAACUCGACUCCAUGAAGUCGGAAUCGCUAGUAAUCGCGGAUCAGCAUGCCGCGGUGAAUACGUUCUCGGGCCUUGUACACACCGCCCGUCACACCAUGGGAGUGGGCUGCACCAGAAGUAGGUUGCUUAACCUUAGGGAGGGCGCUUACCACGGUGUGGUUCAUGACUGGGGUGAAGUCGUAACAAGGUAACC